AAACACAGCUAUUUCUUAAAAAAAAUGCCUUUGUGUGUGCGUUUCUCAGUGCCCAGCAGAAACCAUACCUGAAUCAAUGAUGUCAGUGAGCUAUAACAGUUUGGGCUGGUACCCCAAUUACACAUUUUUUCAUUACAAAACAAGGAAACAGAAAUGAAUGAGAAAUAUGUAUUUACAAAUAUCAAUUUAUGGACAUUUACAAUGUAUGAUGGUUGUCACAAGAAAUAAGCUUAUAUGGACAUUACUUUUUAACAUAUAGUAAAUUGCUUUCGUGUCUUCAACAUUCACUCACUCAUAGUUAUAUAUAGGAAAAACAAUGUGCAGAAAGAUGUCAUCUGAAUGACACGGAAGCCUGCGUCCUCGUAAGUAUGAAAACAUCAGACCUACUACAAACUGCAAUGUUCAUGGCCUAUAUUAACAGCCAAAUUGAUCAGAAAUACAGUGGAGACAUAGUUAAUGUUGUAAAUGACUAUUGUAGCUGGAAACUGCUGAUUUUUAAUAGAAUAUCUACUUUUUCUUUGCAACUCUGUUUAGAAGAAAAACAUUUGUUUCUGGCCAUUUCGACCCUGUAAUCGAACCCACAAAUGCUGAUGCUCCAGAUACUCAACUAGUCUAAAGAAGGCCAGUUUUAUUGCUUCUUUAAAUCAACCCAACAGUUUUCAGCUGUGCUAACAUAAUUGCAAAAGGGUUUUCUAAUGAUCAAUUAGCCUUUUAAAAUGCUAAACUUGGAUUAGCUAACAUAUUGUGCCAUUGGAACACAGGAGUGCUGAUAAUGGGCCUGCUGAAGUGCUGAUAAUGGGCCUCUGUACGCCUAUGUUGAUAUUCCAUUCAAAAUCAGCCGUUUCCAGCUACAAUAGUCAUUUACAACAUUAACAAUGUCUACACAGUAUUUCUGAUCAAUUUGAUGUUAUUUUAAAUGGACAAAAAAGGUGCUUUUUCAAAAACAAGGACAUUUCUAUGUGACCCCAAACUUUUGAAUGGUAGUGUAUAUUUAGCCAUAAUCUCAUUAGUGGGGUAAAAAAAAUCUGCCGGAAAGCUUUCUAAUCAGUACGUUCAAAGCAUUAACUGCAAUAAACAACUUUUAUCAACAGGUUUUGCAGCAGUAUUUGGUUUGAAUUACUCUGGGAUAAACAUCCAACCACACCUGACAGAUCUGUGAUGUGAGGAGCGUCAUGGGAUGUGUCUCUAUUGGAGACUAUACAUUGUGGGCAUCAUUUUGAGAACUGUGUGAGAAACUGGACUUUGAGGAUACAUCUUCAAUUUACAUCAGGGGUGUCAAACUCAUUCCAUGUUGUGCCUAGUGUCUGCGGGUUUUUAUUAUUUAUUUUCAAUUAAUACCUAGAAAACCAGGUGACUGAAGUUAUUUACUAAUUAGUGACCUUGAUUCAUCAAUCAAGUACAAGGGAGGAGUGAAAACCCGCAGACACUCUACCCUCCGUGGAAUGAGUUUGGCACGUGAUUUACAUCAUUGCAUGAUUUAUGUAGGGGUCCAAGUUACUUGAGCAGAUCACAGGUUUGGCCCUGUAUGAAGUAACAUGGGCCAAACAGCAUGUAUUCACAUUCAAAUAGCAUUUAUUUUUUGCAAUGUAACAAACUUAGGAAAUAAUACUAAAAUGUUAAACAAUAUAAUAUAUUUAGUAAGCUGAUUGUGAGUUACUGUGGAUGUGUAGGCUGAUGUGUAGGCAGACCUACACAUUCCUUUGGACACAGGAAGUCACCAGGUGGUUUAUAAUGCCGUCGACCACUCCCUCCCUGUCUGAACGGGGCGAACCGCAGCCACUUCUUCACCACGUCUGCAAACUGGUGAUGUGUGGCCUCUUUGCCCACUGGGGUUCUUUUCAGAGCACCUACCGUGAUAGAGAAGUAGUGAGGUCAGUGCUGCAUCCCAAUUCACUUCAGUGGUUUACUUUCCAAAUGUCUAUGGAGACUGAUCUUCCGCAUGAUCCAUCUAGCUAGCCAUGCAUCCCGCUCUCCAACCCUAACAGUACGUGUAAGAUAUGAUACCGGUACUUACAAAAGAGAACCCCUUGGAGGCGGGUGUUUCUGAAGCUCCUUUUCUGGCCUCGGCCCACCCAGUUGAGCUCAGAGCCCACAGCAAAAGAUAGCACUGCCUGCAUGAGCCUUCGCACCGCAUCAUCAAACGUGGCCCCACCCAUUCGUGACAGGUGAGACACCUGUCAUAGAUAGACACAUACACCAUUUAUAACACAAUCACUUCCCAUUAUUUAGC
rnacentral:lncRNA from 1 species